rnacentral:tRNA from 1 species
UGCAGGGUAGAGCAGUCUGGUUAGCUCGCUUGGCUCAUAACCAUGAGGUCGCUGGUUCGAAUCCAGCCCCUGCAACCA